CAAAGGUUUGGUCCUGACCUUACUAUCAGCUCUAACCCAACUUACACAUGCAAGUCUCCGCCUCCCCGUGAGAAUGCCCUUAAUGUCCUGUCCGGAAUUAAGGAGCAGGCAUCAGGCACAAACAGAUUAGCCCACGACGCCUUGCUCAGCCACACCCCUACGGGUACUCAGCAGUGAUAAAAUUUAAGCAAUAAGUGAAAACUUGACUUAGUCAGGGAUAAGAGGGCCGGUAAAACUCGUGCCAGCCACCGCGGUUAUACGAGAGGCCCAAGUUGAUGAAACGCGGCGUAAAGAGUGGUUAAGAAAACUAAAAAAUAAGGCCGAACAACCUCAGAGCAGUUAUACGCAUCCGAGGCCACGAAGUACAAUUACGAAAGUAGCCCUAAUAAAAAUCUGACUCCACGAAAACCAUAAAACAAACUGGGAUUAGAUACCCCACUAUG
rnacentral:rRNA from 1 species